UUGAAAUUUCUGCCUUCUCAAAGUAACCAUUAUCAUCUCUAUCAUGGGAAGAAUAUGUGUAAAAAGUCCUCAUCGUAUCGAAAUCCAAAUAUUAGACGGCAUUGGCAACAAUAAUAAAAGGGAGGUAACUAGAAUUUUGCAAGGCGACGCACAAUGAGACUGCUCUGGUUUGCUUUGUUACUGGUACUCAACUUUGUUAUUUUGUCGAAUGGGGAUGGCAAUAAGGCUUCUUCGAGACCGGAUGUUGUGAAUAUCGGAGCUCUUUUCACUUUUAACUCUACCAUUGGUAGAGUUGCGAAGAUUGCGAUUGAAGCGGCAAUUGAAGAUGUCAAUUCUAAUUCUACUGUUCUUGGUGGAACGAAAUUGGCUAUCACGAUGCAAGAUACAAAAUGCAGUGGAUUUAUUGGUAUUGCUAAAGCGUUGCAAUUCAUGGAGACAGAUAGUGUGGCCAUUAUCGGGCCUCAAUCAUCUGUAAUUGCCCAUGUAAUAUCACAAGUUUCGAACGAACUCCAAGUUCCAUUAGUAUCAUUUGCCGCCACAGAUCCGACUCUCUCUUCAAUUCAGUUUCCUUUUUUUGUGAGGGUAACUCAGAGUGAUUUGUAUCAGAUGGCCGCAGUUGCUGAUAUAGUUGAUUACUAUGGUUGGAGGGACGUAAUUGCAGUUUACAUUGACGAUAAUUUUGGGAGGAAUGGUAUAGCUGCAUUAGGAGACCAGCUUGCACAAAAACGUUGUAGGAUUUCUUACAAAGUGGGGAUUCCCCCAGUUACUGGAGUCAGUCGCAGUGAGAUGCUAGAUUUGCUCGUGAAGGUAGCAGCGGUAGAGUCUAGGGUUGUUCUCUUACAUGUGAAUACUGAUUUGGGUCUCAAGAUUUUCUCAAUGGCACAAUCUCUUGGAAUGAUGGGAAAUGGUUAUGUGUGGAUAGCUACUGAUUGGCUUUCUUCUGUUUUGGAUUCGUCUUGGCCACUUCCCUCAGCUACCAUGGAUACUAUGCAAGGAGUUCUUGUACUACGCCAGCACAUACCUGAUUCAGAAAGAAAGAGAGAGUUCUAUAGUCGAUGGAAAAAUUUGACUGGUGGAUCUUUAGGAUUAAACUCUUAUGGGAUGUAUGCAUAUGAUACUGUUUGGCUAAUUGCUCAUGCAAUUAACAGAUUUUUUAUUGACGGUGGAAACAUUUCAUUUUCUAAUGAUUCGAGAUUGCGUAAUAGUGGCGGAGGGCGUCUUCAACUCGAAGCGAUGAGCAUAUUUUCAGGGGGGAAGCUUUUGCUCAACAGUAUAUUGCAAUCCAGCUUACUGGGUCUAACAGGUCCUGUCCAGUUUAAUCCAGACCAAUCUCUAGUCAAUCCUGCUUACGAUGUAAUUAAUAUAAUUGGAACUGGAUUUCGACGGAUUGGCUACUGGUGUAACUAUUCUGGCCUGUCUGUCGUGCCUCCCGAGAUUCUGUAUGGAAAGCCUGCUACUCGUUUUAGUGCUGACCAACAACUAUAUAGUGUCAUAUGGCCUGGAGAUAUAACAGUAAAGCCUCGUGGAUGGGUUGCUGUGAACAAUGGAAAGCACUUGAGAAUAGGAGUUCCCCGUCGGGUUAGCUUUAGGGAGUUUGUCACACAAGUGAGUAAAACUGAUGUGGUGAAGGGACUCUGCAUAGAUGUGUUCACUGCAGCUGUCAACUUGUUACCUUAUGCUGUGCAAUAUAAAUUCAUUCCUUACGGAGAUGGUCUUAAAAAUCCUAGUUACAAUGAGCUAGUGGGUUUGAUCACCACAGAUGUAUUCGAUGGUGUAGUUGGUGACAUCGCAAUUGUCACUAACCGGACUCAGAUUGUGGAUUUCACUCAGCCGUUUAUUGAGUCUGGCCUCUAUGUUGUAGCCCCGGUUAGAAAGUUGAGCACGGGGGGGUGGGCUUUCCUAAGACCAUUUACUCCGCAAAUGUGGUGCAUUUUUGCUGGUUUUUUUCUUUUCGUAGGAGUGGUUGUGUGGAUCCUAGAGCAUAGAAUGAAUAAUGAGUUCAGGGGCCCUCCUAGAAAUCAAGUAAUUACUAUAGUGUGGUUUAGCUUCUCAACUUUAUUCUUUGCACACCGACAAAACACACUUAGCACCCUCGGACGCUUAGUAGUAAUCAUAUGGCUCUUUGUGGUUCUUAUUAUAAACUCAAGCUACACGGCUAGUCUGACCUCAAUCCUCACUGUGCAACAUCUAUCUUCACCUAUAAAGGGGAUUAAUAGUUUGAUGAGAAGUAAUGAGCCUAUUGGUUUCCAAGUAGGGUCUUUUACUGAACAUUAUCUGAGCAAGGAGCUCGGCAUUUCCAGAUCUAGACUCGUCCCUCUUGGCUCACCGGAUGAAUUUGCUAGUGCACUCGAACGUGGUCCUAAAAAUGGAGGAAUCACUGCCUUGGUUGACGAACGCCCGUAUGUAGACCUCUUCCUCUCAAGCCAUUGCAAAUUCAGAAUUGUGGGAGAAGAAUUUACCAAAAGCGGGUGGGGAUUUGCUUUCCCAAAGGAUUCUCCAUUAGCUGUAGAUUUCUCGACUGCAAUCCUUAAGCUCUCGGAGGAUGGGGAACUCGAAAGAAUCCAUGAUAAGUGGCUGUCAAAAAGUAGUUGCACUUCUGAUAGCACUGAACUCGAAUCGGACCGGCUUCACUUCAAAAGCUUUUGGGGACUUUACCUUUCUUGCGGAGUAGCAAUUUUACUUGCCCUCUUGAUACAUGUUGUGCAGUUGGUACUGCAGUUUAGGCGACACCUCCCUGAAGAACCCGAUUCUUCUCCUACUAGUACUGGUCAAGCGAGUUCGUUGUCUAGGAGCUUUCAGAGGUUCGUAUCAUUUGUCAGCGAGAAGGAAGAACAAUUUAGGAACCGGUCGAAGAGGCAACUAUCGGAUGUAUCAGUAAGCAACGAAGAGAACCGAUACGAAUCAGGUGGAAAUCCAGAGAGAAGAGAAAUAGAGAUAUUGUAAUUAAACACUAGUAAGCUACCGGUAAUCAGGACCACUCUUACCAUGUUAUCCCUCUGUAAUUAUCUGCAUGGUCAUUAUGAUAACAACAUAUAUGCGUCCACUGGGUGUACCGUUAAGUCUCCUAAAAUGUGCCCAAUCCAUGUACUGUUGAUAGCCACUCUUUGCAGUGAUGCUGCUGCGAUGGAUAUAAACCAACUUUUCAUUUUACCAAGAGCUAGUGAGCUCAAAAGGAAUAUCCAUGACAAGACCUUGUGGUGGGUUCCCAUUUUCUUAUCCAGACGAAGCUUCGUUGGUGUUGCAGAUGGAUUAUCGACGUGAAGUGAGCCGCGCAAAGACAAGUAUCUUUCCACCUCUAUUUGCGUUUCAGGACCCACGACGGUUGCUGUUAAAAAAGAGAGCAGUAGAUUCCAAACUUUUGAUAGAAGCAGUGUGAAACAGUAAAAGCUAGAGAAUCGAUUUUACUGAUUUCGAAAUGUUAGAUUAUGCAGCAGUAGUACGGUCCUGCGUGUACCUUCUUUCACCAACAUGCCAAUUAAUAAAGGCAAUAAUACAAAUUGGGCUGCGGAGCAUAUAGAAUACCUCUCUGGAGGCACUUUUCUUCUGUUUGGGACCUUUGGGUGGAAACUGAAAGAACUUGAAACAAACUUCCAGCUCCCACCACCACAACUAGCAAAAGCACACACUUGAUGAGUGGAAAAAGGUGGAAGAAGUAAUC